GCCAGACUCCUACGGGAGGCAGCAGUGGGGGAUAUUGGACAAUGGGGGAAACCCUGAUCCAGCGACGCCGCGUGAGUGAAGAAGUAUUUCGGUAUGUAAAGCUCUGUCAGCAGGGAAGAAAGAAAUGACGGUACCUGACUAAGAAGCCCCGGCUAACUACGUGCCAGCAGCCGCGGUAAUACGUAGGGGGCAAGCGUUAUCCGGAUUUACUGGGUGUAAAGGGAGCGCAGACGGCAGGGCAAGUCUGAUGUGAAAGUCCGGGGCUCAACCCCGGGACUGCAUUGGAAACUGUCCGGCUAGAGUGCAGGAGAGGUAAGUGGAAUUCCUAGUGUAGCGGUGAAAUGCGUAGAUAUUAGGAGGAACACCAGUGGCGAAGGCGGCUUACUGGACUGUAACUGACGUUGAUGCUCGAAAGCGUGGGGAGCAAACAGGAUUAGAUCCCCUUGU
rnacentral:rRNA from 1 species